AUUGAACGCUGGCGGCAUGCCUUACACAUGCCAGUCGAACGGUAACGGGCCUUCGGGUGCCGACGAGUGGCGCACGGGUGAGUAAUACAUCGGAACGUGCCCGAUCGUGGGGGAUAACGAGGCGAAGGCUUUGCUAAUACCGCAUACGAUCUACGGAUGAAAGCAGGGGACCGCAAGGCCUUGCGCGGACGGAGCGGCCGAUGGCAGAUUAGGUAGUUGGUGGGAUAAAAGCUUACCAAGCCGACGAUCUGUAGCUGGUCUGAGAGGAUGAUCAGCCACACUGGGACUGAGACACGGCCCAGACUCCUACGGGAGGCAGCAGUGGGGAAUUUUGGACAAUGGGCGCAAGCCUGAUCCAGCCAUGCCGCGUGCAGGAUGAAGGCCUUCGGGUUGUAAACUGCUUUUGUACGGAACGAAAAGCCUUCUUUUAAUACAGGAGGGUCAUGACGGUACCGUAAGAAUAAGCACCGGCUAACUACGUG
rnacentral:rRNA from 1 species